rnacentral:rRNA from 1 species
UGGAGAAAAGCAGGGGAUCGCAAGACCUUGCGCUUUUGGAGUGGCCGAUGCCUGAUUAGCUAGUUGGUGGGGUAAUGGCCUACCAAGGCGACGAUCAGUAGUUGGUCUGAGAGGACGACCAGCCACACUGGGACUGAGACACGGCCCAGACUCCUACGGGAGGCAGCAGUGGGGAAUUUUGGACAAUGGGCGAAAGCCUGAUCCAGCAAUGCCGCGUGAGUGAAGAAGGCCUUCGGGUUGUAAAGCUCUUUCAGUCGAGAAGAAAAGGUUGUGACUAAUAAUCACAACUCAUGACGGUAUCGACAGAAGAAGCACCGGCUAACUACGUGCCAGCAGCCGCGGUAAUACGUAGGGUGCGAGCGUUAAUCGGAAUUACUGGGCGUAAAGGGUGCGCAGGCGGCUUUGUAAGUCAGAUGUGA